rnacentral:rRNA from 1 species
GACAGAGGGUGCAACCGUUGUUCGGAAUUACUGGGCGUAAAGCGUGUGUAGGCGGCCUUAUAAGUCGGAUGUGAAAGCCCAGGGCUCAACCCUGGAAGUGCACUCGAUACUGUAAGGCUCGAGUACUGGAGAGGUUGGUGGAAUUCUCGGUGUAGAGGUGAAAUUCGUAGAUAUCGAGAGGAACACCGGUGGCGAAGGCGGCCAACUGGACAGAUACUGACGCUGAGACACGAAAGCGUGGGGAGCAAACAGG